UACUGAAACAACGUUUAAUUCAUUUAUCUUCGUUAGUAUGCAUAGAGAAGAUGUUGGGACAUUUUUAAUGCGUUUACGGUAUCAGAAAUAACUGUGACCAUGAUGAUCACCUCAAAUCGUUCUGUUCGAAAUAUUCUUUAAGAAAAUCGUUAAAAAUCGACGAAAUUCGUACCAGAGUCUCGGGUGAAUUCUGAACGGAACGAUUUGGUUCUAGUUUUUUUUUUUUCUCUUUUUUCUUUUUUCUUUUAUUCAUCACAAACUCGUCGUAGAAAUGAAAUGCUCGAUUCGAGCAUCCUUUUAAUAGAAAGUGCGUAUAUUAUAGAAAUCGAUUUGUGAGGGUGUGCUUUGGCGCGUGUGUCAUAAUAAUAAAGCAAGCAAAAUAAUAUUCGAUAAAUAAAUAAACAAACAAAUAAAGAAAAAAAAAAUAAGAAAAGAUUUACCUAUUAUGAGAAAGAAUAAAUAUGAAUUCCAUAGUUAUUAUUACUUGUAAAGUUACAGUUAUUGUUGAAAAAUUUAAUUACAGUUAAUUUGGCAGUGCGAUAAGCGAAUGGCAAAAUAUUUACUAGUGAAUACUUAUCAUGAUAUAGGCUUGUAAAGGUUACUUAUUACAAAAAGCGUGGAAAAACAUUGCCGAGACUGUGUAUUAGUGCUGUGGUAUAAAUCGAUUAAACGGCAGCUUCGAUUAAUAGUUUUUUUUCGAUUAGAGCACUACUAUACAAUAUCUCUUCGAAGCGAAGACAAUUUUUUUUUAUGUAAAUUGCAUACGCAUGCACGUGAGGCGAUAAAAUGAUAGAUAUGAUAUUCGAAGAAGUAUAUUAAAUAAUUAAUAAUAAUAGUAAUAAUUAUGUAUCGUGUGUUAUGAACCUUAAUUUGUCUUUGGUCGGACAACCAUCAUCAGCUUCUGCAUACUUUGGGUGAAGGCUCCUAUACGAAAAAAAGUGUUAACUAGCAGAAAAAUAAAAUGAGUGAAAAUUUUAACUACAAUAAUAUGUAUAACAAGUGUUUUCUCGUGUAUGUAUAGCCGUGUGUUUCUCGAAUAGUCAACGAUAGUGUUGAAAUAAUAAACCUGUUCAGUAACAUUGUACGAUAAUAUAAUUAUACAAGAUAUAUGGAAGAUAGAUGACAAAAAACAAAAAAAAAAUAGUUACACGAUAAAACUCGAGUGUUUUUUUUUUUUUUUCAUGUUUAAUGAUAAAUGAUCGUCAUUGCUCUCUGUGCACGACUAAAACCCUUACGAUAAAAAAUUCUGUCAGUGUCCCAAGGGAUGUAUCGGUGAUACGGUUGUGUCAGUUAAACAAAAUUACGAGCAAGCGAAAUUUUCAGUUCUUAGACGUUUCCCGAAAGUGGAGUUAUAAAUAAUUUAUUCCUGCCGUCAUUCUUUUCGUCGUGGAAUGACGCUGAAUUGCCGAUAUAAUCUAGGAAUGGUAUUACAGACAAAAUAGAAUUUCAAGUGGCGUAGAGUCGGCAAUACUUGUCGGAUAUCUUCCAUUUUUUUAUAACCUUAAACUAGUUUUAACUUAAAUAUUGUAUCGAAUGAGAGAGAUGCGUGUAAAUUUUUCCCUCUAUAAUUGAUAGUAAGAAAUGUGAUUCUUCCUUUAUAAAAUUACUGCAACAUUAUUUUACCAUCUUUGAGUGAAGAAUUUUCUUUUCAUUUGUUUGCCAUGCGGAAUUUGAUAAAAGUCAAAUUCAUCGAAUUUUCAACUGUCUGAAAUUUCAGUGCUGAGAGUUUUUCUUUAUUUCUUUUUAUCGUACCGUAUAGCACUGCAUUUUCAAUGUUUGACAAUUAAAGUCGAAAAACUUGACACAAUAUUUGAGAAUACCUCGGGACACUCGGAAGAAAUUUUCAAGAAGAGUGUGCGGCUAUUUAUCUAGUCUUGAUAUACCUAUUUUCAUUACUUUUAGCUUGUUUGUUCAAGUUUAUCUUUCAGUACUCACCUACUGUCUUGGUGAAUGACUUGGGUUUGUUUUUCCAGGCGAUAAAGAAAAAGUAAACAGGUACUGAUGACAAGAUCAUGAGACAACCGUACGCUGAAAACACGGUUACAAAGUUUCAUCGGUAUAUUCCAUGUACAAAGGCUCAUUAUAAUUGGAAUUUCAAAUGUCCGGCUAUAAUCAUUACAUUAAUUACAUAAACACGGCGCAUACAUGAAUGAUGCCGAGUCAAUUAGUGCAGCUUAUCAAGUCCAUUAUUACGACAAACGGAAUAAGAAGAAAGUCGAAAGACGAAUAAAAAAUUUGAGUCACUUUAAUUCAAGUCUACAUGUGACUAUCAUUUGUGAUUACGUAUUUAUUAAUAAUUCUUAAUCUUUCAAGGUUGUGCAAUGGAAUCAAGACUUUGAACUCUGAGUUACAAUAUUGACCGAUUGAACUCCGUCAUGGAAAAAUAUCGAUAGCUAAGAAUAUGGUUGGCGAGUUAUCGGAAUUCAAAGUUAUACUCAUUAGUUCAUACAUGGGAACGAGGGUGAUGAAGAGCGUGGCGAUUAUGUACACAACGGGGAAAAUGAGAUUCACUUUUAUUGGCCUCGGAAGAUUAGGCUGCGCCCACCUAAGCCAAGGCACGCAAAGCACCGACGCACCUAUACUCAUCUGAGGAUUGAAAACAUGGUUGAUUCGUCGCCAGUAGGAUGCAUUCAAUGUUCAUUCAUUUCUUCACCAAUUACAAAUAAAGGUUGUUCUCGAUGGACACAAGAAAGAUUCAGGGAUAGUUUCCCGGACUUUUGAAAGACGAGCGACAUACAAAGACAUUUCCAGGACCACUGGACACCAUGCACAAGCACUUGACUGAGGUGUCACAAUUGUUUGAUCACUUUUGGAGUGAUUCAGGAUUUCUAAAUCCUUUUUUUUAAAGAGUCGAAGAAUAAUGAAUUUAAGAUUGAAAGAUAUGGAUAUGUGCAAGUGAUCCCAAUGACAUUCUAAGCUAUUACAGUAAGGUGGCGAAUCCCACGUAACUUAUAAGUUUGAAGAUAUUGGACGAGGAGAGAUAGACCAUCGACAAUAGAGCCUGAAAUGAGUAAAAUUUUUCAACUAUUCAGCCUGUCCAAUGCGGAGUUGGUAUUAUUAACCGCGAGUUGUGUAUCUCACCAUGCACAAAACAGCUGGGGUAGGAGUCAACCUGGAUAUUUGUAUCAUUGUCAGAACUUCUGGCAUCUGUCCUUCGCAGGCACCGGCGUAGAACAACCUCGACGAUGUUAGCAGAAUACCAUUGACAGCUCCGAAGGUGGAUAAAGCAACGAAGACUGGUAUGGUCCAUGCCAUCACGCCAAAGAGCCGAUUGGCAAAUGUCUGUACAGAGCAUGAAUGGUUUAGAUGAUAUACAGAAUUGCAUCCGUUUGUAAAUGAAAGAUGGAGGUGACGUUGGUUUUUACUUACAACUGCUACAGCUCCGCUGCCAAGAACUUCGUCGGGACUAAGAGUUGUGUAGAAAGCAACAUUGGCGAAAACGUAGACGAUUGUGACUAGAGUACAGGAAAUUCCAAUGGCUCUGGGUAGAUUCCUGGAGGAAAAGAAAAUUAGUGCACUGAUCAAGGCUGUCCGCUUGGCUCAAGUCAUCGGGAAGCAUUCCAGGGGUUUCCGGAACUCUGUCACAUCAGAUACGACGGCAUUACUCAUGGUAGCGUGAAAAGCGUUUGACAACCAAGGCUUGCAGAGAAUAGAAUUUACUGGAGAAGUUCGUUCGCAGUGAGGAUUGACAUUUUUGGGUGAAAGCCGUAUUUCUGAUGGUCAGCACGAAGCUGAAUCUGCCACGCUGAUCAGGCGCAAGAACAAUAGAAAUAAUUUUAAAUGUGUUUCGAUAAUUAUUAUAAUGAUGAUUGCGAGCUUCUGUACGUAUGACAGUAUAUUAAGCCGAGCAAGUGAAUUUAUUGGUAGAUUUUAUUUUACACAUUUAACACAACACUCAAGUUCGAUCUAGAAUGCGAUUACAGUAAUGCGAAAAUUUUUUGCAAUAUUUUAAUUGUCCAUUUGUCUGCACAACAUAGGAAAACUGUAUGUUUAUCUCGAUAGUGAUUGUAACAAUA